rnacentral:rRNA from 1 species
CAGCCGCCGCGGUAAUACGUAGGGUGCGAGCGUUAAUCGGAUUUACUGGGCGUAAAGCGUGCGCAGGCGGCCCGUUAAGACAGGUGUGAAAUCCCUGGGCUCAACCUAGGAAUUGCGCUUGUGACUGGCGGGCUCGAGUACGGUAGAGGGGGGUGGAAUUCCUGGUGUAGCAGUGAAAUGCGUAGAGAUCAGGAGGAACACCGAUGGCGAAGGCAGCCCCCUGGGCCUGUACUGACGCUCAUGCACGAAAGCGUGGGGAGCAAACAGGAUUAGAUACCCUGGUAGUCCACGCCCUAAACGAUGGGUACUAGCCGUUUGGUGCGCGAUAGCGCUGAGUGGCGAAGCUAACGCAUUAAGUGCCCCGCCUGGGGAGUACGGCCGCAAGGUUGAAACUUAAAGGAAUUGGCGGG